CUCCUUGGAGUGGGGAUUUAGUCCCUGACAGAUCACAUCUACAUACAUAUACACACAUAUAUAUAACUGUAGGAAUCAAGUCUUGGGCUUUGUUUUCAGUACUGGCACCUUCAGUGCACCAUCAGCACUUGAUUCUGCUGUUUUUCUCUCUGCAAUAGAGUCCCCUUUGAUGUUUCCUUUUGGAGAAGAACAGUGGUGGGCUGCAGGUAAGUUGACUGCUGUGAGAUGCACAAGGAAACUCCUCUACACAACUUUUCUUGCUGGCAGGCAGUGUGGACGUGAGGCCAUGGAUGUGUUUUCAGCUGUCCCAGGACCUCCUGAUUUUAUCAAGUGGCAGCACUGAGUGCCCAAAGAAAAGUCUGAUUUCAUAUUCACAAGACAACAAAACGCUUUGUCAAGGGAUUGUCCUCUGUUAAUCAGGGCUUACUUCAGAUUCCUAACUUCUGAGGAGGCCAAGACAAAGCUAUGUCCUUUGGUGCAUCUUCAUAGGGUUCCCCUGGAGAAUGUCUGAGGCAAGUUUCAAAGACAGGCAUUUCUGCUCUGUCAGGUUUGCAGCUGGGUGAAGUUGGGUAACUUGUUUUCUUGGUUCAUUCCAGUGAGUGAUGCAAACACAGGAGACAACUGCAGCUGCACCAGUGCUCACCGCCGUGUUCCACAUCCAGCACACAAGCAGCGUUCCAGUUCACAGAGGGCACCGGUUCCUCCUGGCAUGCCUGAGCUGCAGAACUGCUGGAAAGAGCCACAGCCUGGAGUGCAAUGAAGGAAGAAGAGAGCUUUUUUGGCAAUGUGAAUUCAGCUGCCUCGAGAGCAACACCCUCCUGGGCAGCAGGACCCUGCACUGCAGCUCAUGGCCCUUGGAAAUGCCGCCCAGCCCCGUGCUGCCCAAGCAAGAAGCGAGAGCGGUGUCCUCUCAGAAAGCCAGGGCUUCCAGGGACUCCUCCUGCGUCCUGCCACGCAACCUGAAAGCGAGACAAGCUUAUGCAACAGACAAGAGGAGCUACCUGCAUAUAAAAGUCAGCUGGUCUUUGAAUCAGGCACUGAAGGGAAGCUUUGGAUAAAUGAGUUUGAGCUGAGAAAUAAACAGAGUGUGCAUAAGGAUGAUCUGCCCCUU
rnacentral:lncRNA from 1 species